rnacentral:rRNA from 1 species
CCUACGGGUGGCAGCAGUGAGGAAUAUUGGUCAAUGGACGCAAGGCUGAACCAGCCAAGUCGCGUGAGGGAUGACGGUUCUAUGGGUUGUAAACCUCUUUUGUAAGGGGGUAAAGGGCGGCACGUGUGGCGAUUUGCGAGUACUGGAAGAAAAAGGAUCGGCUAACUCCGUGCCAGCAGCCGCGGUAAUACGGAGGAUGCGAGCGUUAUUCGGAUUUAUUGGGUUUAAAGGGUGCGCAGGUGGAGUGAUAAGUUAGAGGUGAAAUUUUCGGGCUCAACCCGGGCACUGCGGUUAAUACUGGCGUUCGUGAGUGUAGAUGAGGUAGGCGGAAUGCGUGGUGUAGCGGUGAAAUGCUUAGAGAUCACGCAGAACUCCGAUUGCGAAGGCAGCAUACCAACCCAUAACUGACGCUGAGGCACGAAAGCGUGGGGAUCAAACAGGAUUAGAUACCCGAGUAGUC